rnacentral:tRNA from 1 species
UCCCUUGUGGCUCAGACGGUAAAGUGUCUGCCUACAGUGCGGGAGACCUGGGUUCGAUCCCUGGGAUGGGAA